rnacentral:lncRNA from 1 species
CUGACACAUACCUUUUCUCUAGGGCAUAUUUUGUACUUGAUGGAUAGUCUUUAUAACCAAUCAUGUAAUAUGUGUCUAUAAUUUAUCUUAAAAAUUAACAAAGAUGAUUUUGUAUAUUCUCAAGGUGUUGAGAAUUUGAGACAUGCAUCAUUAGUGGUUAAUUUUUAAAUACUCCCAAUCGAAGAAUCAUCAUGGAGGA